rnacentral:rRNA from 1 species
UUUCGCAAUGCCCGAAAGGGUGACGAAGCGACGCCGCGUGUGGGAAGAAGGCCUUCGGGUUGUAAACCACUGUCGGGAGUUAGGAAAUGUAAGGGUGCUAAUAGUAUCCUUGCUUGACUAAGGCUCCGGAGGAAGCCACGGCUAACUCUGUGCCAGCAGCCGCGGUAAUACAGAGGCGGCAAGCGUUGUUCGGAAUUAUUGGGCGUAAAGAGCACGUAGGCGGCCUUGUAAGUCAGUUGUGAAAGCCUUCUGCUUAACGGAAGAACAGCAGCUGAUACUGCAAGGCUAGAGUGCGGAAGGGGAGAGUGGAACUUCUGGUGGAGCGGUGAAAUGCGUAGAUAUCAGAAGGAACACCGGCGGCGAAGGCGACUCUCUGGUCCGUAACUGACGCUGAGUGUGCGAAAGCUAGGGGAGCAAACGGGAUUAGAUAUCCCGGUAGUCCUAGCCGUAAACGAUGGGCACUAAGUAGAGGGGUUUUA